UACGUAGGGUCCGAGCGUUGUCCGGAUUCAUUGGGCGUAAAGAGCUCGUAGGCGGUUCCGUAAGUCGGAUGUGAAAACUCAGGGCUCAACCCGGAGACGCCAUCCGAUACUGCGGUGACUUGAGUCUGGUAGGGGAACACGGAAUACCUGGUGUAGCGGUGAAAUGCGCAGAUAUCAGGUGGAACACCGAUGGCGAAGGCAGUGUUCUGGGCCAGUACUGACGCUGAGGAGCGAAAGCGUGGGGAGCAAACAGG
rnacentral:rRNA from 1 species